rnacentral:rRNA from 1 species
AUCAUUAACUGAAUCCAUAGGUUAAUGAGGCGAACCGGGGGAACUGAAACAUCUAAGUACCCCGAGGAAAAGAAAUCAACCGAGAUUCCCCCAGUAGCGGCGAGCGAACGGGGAGGAGCCCAGAGCCUGAAUCAGUGUGUGUGUUAGUGGAAGCGUCUGGAAAGGCGUGCGAUACAGGGUGACAGCCCCGUACACAAAAAUGCACAUAUUGUGAGCUCGAUGAGUAGGGCGGGACACGUGGUAUCCUGUCUGAAUAUGGGGGGACCAUCCUCCAAGGCUAAAUACUCCUGACUGACCGAUAGUGAACCAGUACCGUGAGGGAAAGGCGAAAAGAACCCCGGCGAGGGGAGUGAAAAAGAACCUGAAACCGUGUACGUACAAGCAGUGGGAGCCUCUU